UCUUCAUUCUUCUCACUAUCUCAUCGGUCAGAAAGGCGAGAGAGCGUGUGAAAUGGAGAGA
rnacentral:pre_miRNA from 1 species